rnacentral:rRNA from 2 species
GGGUUGUGAGGUUAAGCGACUAAGCGUACACGGUGGAUGCCCUGGCAGUCAGAGGCGAUGAAGGACGUGCUAAUCUGCGAUAAGCGUCGGUAAGGUGAUAUGAACCGUUAUAACCGGCGAUUUCCGAAUGGGGAAACCCAGUGUGUUUCGACACACUAUCAUUAACUGAAUCCAUAGGUUAAUGAGGCGAACCGGGGGAACUGAAACAUCU